AGACAGACAGACAGCUGGCAAGAGGCAGCCUGGGGGCCACAGCUGCUUCACCAUGACCCAGCCUCCGCCUGAAAAAACGCCAGCCAAGAAGCAUGUGCGACUGCAGGAGAGAAGAUCCCUUCAAACUUUGUCAGCCCCGAAGACCUGGACAUCCCUGGCCACGCCUCCAAGGACCGAUACAAGACCAUCUUGCCAAAUCCCCAGAGCCGUGUCUGUCUAGGCCGGGCACAGAGCCAGGAGGACGGAGAUUACAUCAAUGCCAACUACAUCCGAGGCUAUGACGGGAAGGAGAAGGUCUACAUUGCCACCCAGGGCCCCAUGCCCAACACUGUGUCGGACUUCUGGGAGAUGGUGUGGC
rnacentral:lncRNA from 10 species